rnacentral:rRNA from 1 species
UACGUAGGGAGCAAGCGUUGUCCGGAAUCAUUGGGCGUAAAGCGCGCGUAGGUGGCUUCGUAAGUCCGCUGUGAAAGUCAAAGGCUCAACCUUUGAAAAGCCGGUGGAUACUGUGAAGCUAGAGUACGGAAGAGGCGAGUGGAAUUCCUGGUGUAGCGGUGGAAUGCGCAGAUAUCAAGGAAGAACACCCGUGGCUAAGGCGGCUCUCUAGUACGGUACUGACGCUGAGACGCGAAAGCGUGGGGAGCGAACAGG